UGUGGUAUCUGGCUCUCGAGAUUCGGAAAACGAUGCCUCUUCGAUUUUUGAGAAAGCAAUCAUGCUGGGGGUCUGGCUCUCGAAAUUCGGAGAGCAGUGUCUCUUCGAUUUUUGAGGAAGUAAUCAUGUUGGGAGUCUGGCUCUUGAGAUUCGGAGGGCGGUGCCUCUUCGAUUUUGGAGCAAGCAAUCCUGUUGGGAGUGUUGUCUCGAAUGUGAGUAAAGGUUGGGCAUGUGUUUGCUAGUCUACCUUGCCACGAAGCACAAAGGUUGACACACAGGGACUUUCCAAUUAUCCAGCAAUGGUACUGUUCCUUUACCCUCUCUUCGCUUUUGAGAAAGUAGUCAUGUUGGGAGUCUGGCUCUCGAGAUUCGGAGGACGGUGCCUCUUCGAUUUUGGAGCAAGCAAUCUUAUUGGGAGUGUUUUCUCGAAUGUGAGUAAAGGUUGGGCAUGUUUGCUAGUCUACCAUGCCACGAAGCACAGAGGUUGACACACAGAGACUUUCCAAUUAUCCAGCAGUGGUACUGUUCCUUUACCCUUAUGGGUAAUAAUAUGGUAGCUAGACCUUCAAAAUUUAUGUGUCUAAACUUUGUUAGUGCUGUUUCUUUGCUAUUCUUUUACCUUUCUUGGUCAGAGCGAUGUAGUGGGAGCUGCAAGCUUCACGUGCUCAACUUUGGCAGAGAACUUUGGCAAAGUUAUCUGUGGUACCCAUGAGCUAUUGUUGCGUGUGACAGGUGCUGACAAGGCUAGAAAAGUAGGUGCCUCUUCGAUUUCUGAGAUCGGCCCUCGUGGUCUCUGAGCAGCCCAGCUUUUGAGAAAGCGAGCGCCUCUUCGAUUGAUUCGGAGAACGAUGCCUCAUCGAUUUUUGAGAAAGCAAUCAUGCUGGGGGUCUGGCUCUCGAAGAUUCGGGAAGCAGUGUCUCUUCGAUUUUUGAGAAAGUAAUCAUGUUGGGAGUCUGGCUCUCGAGAUUCGGAGGGCGGUGCCUCUUCGAUUUUGGAGCAAGCAAUCUUGUUGGGAGUGUUUUUCUCGAAUGUGAGUAAAGGUUGGGCAUGUUUGCUAGUCUACCUUGCCACGAAGCACAGAGGUUGACACAGGGACUUUCCAAUUAUCCAGCAAUGGUACUGUUCCUUUACCCUCUCUUCGAUUUUUAAGAAAGUAGUCAUGUUGGGAGUCUGGCUCUCGAGAUUUGGAGGACGGUGCCUCUUCGAUUUUGGAGCAAGCAAUCUUAUUGGGAGUGUUUUCUCGAAUGUGAGUAAAG
rnacentral:lncRNA from 1 species